rnacentral:misc_RNA from 1 species
AGAGAUGAUAAGUCAUGGAGUCCCAGCUACAUUCUUGAUUUUAGUGAUCUUUCUGUUGGCGACCGCAUUUAUGACCUGAUACCUGUAUACUUGGAUGUAUUUAGAGGUGACUCCAGUCUUCUUAAAAAAUUUUUGGAGAGUUAUAAACUACCUUUGUUGACAAGCGAGUAUGAAUCAGUGAAGAGCAGUAACAAGUUUGGACGACUUUCAUAUCAUGCCAUGUGCUACUGUGUCUUGCACGAAGAGAAUGUCUUGGGGGCUAUUUUCAGUAUAUGGAAGGAACUCAGAAUGGCAAAUUCGUGGGAGGAGGUUGAGCUGACUGUGUGGGGGGAACUAAACGACUACAAGGGCAUCUCUUGAUGGCUUGCUGCUCGUUUAAUCG